AUUAACAUAGCAGGGGAUAAGAAAAUCUUAAUUAAACAGAACUUGCAAUAAAGAAAGCCUAAAUAGGGCUCUCUUUACAGGAAGUGUUUAUGGAGGGCUGUGCAAGUCACAUGCAGGGAGGUGUGACUAGGGUUCAUAAACAAAGGGAUUUAACUCCUAAAUGGCAGGGGAUGGAGCAGUGAGGCUGCAGGGGCAUGUUCUAUA